AGGGGUCCAUUCAAAUGCAAUUGUCAUGAUCGAAACAGAAAGAGGAAGACUUUGAGAAAUACAAAGAUAAGUUGCCAGAUUGAUGCAGAGACAAUGAGUUUGGGUACAAGUACAAUGGCCAGCAGUGACUAAGUUCCGGAUGCAACUAGUGACCAUGAAAUUCGGAGGGAGUCUGUAGGAGAAGAAGGGAAUCCAGAUUCAAGCAGUGAUAGAGCAAUAGACUGAGUUUCAAUAUGUUAUUGCAUAUUUUUGUUAAGUGUUACUCUUGGUUGUCUUCAUUAGGUACUUGGUUUUGGGCAUAACUUAAUUUGUACUUCUUCUAAUUACC